GGUGCCAUAUUCUAAGUAAGGAAAUCCGAUUUGCACCCGGAAAGUGGUAUUAAUUUACCUGGCGCCU
rnacentral:tRNA from 1 species